GCAUAGAUGGCACACACGGUUGGCCAGGUCAUCAGGGGCCUUGCCAGUGGAAAGAAGGGAGAAGUUGGCCAAAGAGAAAGCCCAGGUCAUUCUAGGCCUGCCAGACCAAGAGAACCACCAAAGCCAGAGGGAAGAUAAAGAAAUUCCUUGC